AAAGGAAUAGACGGGGGCCCGCACAAGCAGUGGAGUAUGUGGUUUAAUUCGAAGCAACGCGAAGAACCUUACCAGGGCUUGACAUCCCUUGACAGCUGUAGAGAUACAGUAUCCCUUCGGGGCAAGGAGACAGGUGGUGCAUGGUUGUCGUCAGCUCGUGUCGUGAGAUGUUGGGUUAAGUCCCGCAACGAGCGCAACCCCUGUUGUUAGUUGCCAUCAUUAAGUUGGGCACUCUAGCGAGACUGCCGGUGACAAAUCGGAGGAAGGUGGGGACGACGUCAAAUCAUCAUGCCCCUUAUGUCCUGGGCUACACACGUACUACAAUGGUCACUACAGCGGGAAGCGAAGCGGCAACGCGGAGCGAAUCCUAAAAAGUGGCCCCAGUUCGGAUUGUGGGCUGCAACCCGCCCACAUGAAGUCGGAAUUGCUAGUAAUGGCAGGUCAGCAUACUGCCGUGAAUACGUUCCCGGGCCUUGCACACACCGCCCGU
rnacentral:rRNA from 1 species